rnacentral:tRNA from 1 species
GGAGGGUAAGCGAUUCUGGUGUUCGCCUUGGGCUUCAAACCCAUAGAGUGGUUAGGUGUCUAAUUGCUGGAGAGUUCGAUUCUCUCACCUUCUC